rnacentral:rRNA from 1 species
AGAGUUUGAUCAUGGCUCAGGACGAACGCUGGCGGCGUGCCUAAUACAUGCAAGUAGAACGCUGAAGAGAGGAGCUUGCUCUUCUUGGAUGAGUUGCGAACGGGUGAGUAACGCGUAGGUAACCUGCCUUGUAGCGGGGGAUAACUAUUGGAAACGAUAGCUAAUACCGCAUAACAAUGGAUGACCCAUGUCAUUUAUUUGAAAGGGGCAAAUGCUCCACUACAAGAUGGACCUGCGUUGUAUUAGCUAGUAGGUGAGGUAACGGCUCACCUAGGCGACGAUACAUAGCCGACCUGAGAGGGUGAUCGGCCACACUGGGACUAAGACACGGCCCAGACUCCUACGGGAGGCAGCAGUAGGGAAUCUUCGGCAAUGGGGGCAACCCUGACCGAGCAACGCCGCGUGAGUGAAGAAGGUUUUCGGAUCGUAAAGCUCUGUUGUAAGUCAAGAACGAGUGUGAGAGUGGAAAGUUCACACUGUGACGGUAGCUUACCAGAAAGGGACGGCUAACUACGUGCCAGCAGCCGCGGUAAUACGUAGGUCCCGAGCGUUGUCCGGAUUUAUUGGGCGUAAAGCGAGCGCAGGCGGUUUGAUAAGUCUGAAGUUAAAGGCUGUGGCUCAACCAUAGUUCGCUUUGGAAACUGUCAAACUUGAGUGCAGAAGGGGAGAGUGGAAUUCCAUGUGUAGCGGUGAAAUGCGUAGAUAUAUGGAGGAACACCGGUGGCGAAAGCGGCUCUCUGGUCUGUAACUGACGCUGAGGCUCGAAAGCGUGGGGAGCGAACAGGAUUAGAUACCCUGGUAGUCCACGCCGUAAACGAUGAGUGCUAGGUGUUGGAUCCUUUCCGGGAUUCAGUGCCGCAGCUAACGCAUUAAGCACUCCGCCUGGGGAGUACGACCGCAAGGUUGAAACUCAAAGGAAUUGACGGGGGCCCGCACAAGCGGUGGAGCAUGUGGUUUAAUUCGAAGCAACGCGAAGAACCUUACCAGGUCUUGACAUCCCGAUGCUAUUUCUAGAGAUAGAAAGUUACUUCGGUACAUCGGUGACAGGUGGUGCAUGGUUGUCGUCAGCUCGUGUCGUGAGAUGUUGGGUUAAGUCCCGCAACGAGCGCGACCCCUAUUGUUAGUUGCCAUCAUUCAGUUGGGCACUCUAGCGAGACUGCCGGUAAUAAACCGGAGGAAGGUGGGGAUGAUGUCAAAUCAUCAUGCCCCUUAUGACCUGGGCUACACACGUGCUACAAUGGUUGGUACAACGAGUUGCGAGUCGGUGACGGCAAGCUAAUCUCUUAAAGCCAAUCUCAGUUCGGAUUGUAGGCUGCAACUCGCCUACAUGAAGUCGGAAUCGCUAGUAAUCGCGGACCAGCACGCCGCGGUGAAUACGUUCCCGGGCCUUGUACACACCGCCCGUCACACCACGAGAGUUUGUAACACCCGAAGUCGGUGAGGUAACCUUUUGGAGCCAGCCGCCUAAGGUGGGAUAGAUGAUUGGGGUGAAGUCGUAACAAGGUA